rnacentral:lncRNA from 1 species
UUUAUAACAAAAAAUUCAUUUUUUUUUACUCACAGACCAUCUAAUUGGCAUCCGUGAAAUUACAGAACCCUGAAUUUCUCUCUCGUCGUCUCAUCUUCUCCCUUCCGUCACUCCGGCCAAUCCUUCAGGUCCUGUCUCUCCGGCCACCGCGUUCCAUUCCGUCACUCUCCGUCUCACUUCCUUCUCAGGCAUCAAACGUAGGAAGUGAAUCUCCAACACACAAUGACAUAACUAGAUCAUCAGAUGAAAGCAACGCACGUGGAGCAUGAGAGUCCUAAUUUUAGUGACAUCAGUUGUCUAGUCAUUUUUAUGUUUUGAAACUUGUUAUUUUGAGAAUUGCUAAAAAGAUGGUGGCAAUGGUUUAUGUAACUUUAUGUUUGGAGACUUGUUUAUAUUUGAGACUUGUUUUGGAUAUUUGUAUCAAACUCCACUUCAGUUGAAUUAUAAAUAUAUCAAUGACAAUGUUCAAAAUUUGUUUGUCCUUUAA